UGCCUCUGAUGAAAAAUUUAACCAGUUCUGCUACUGAAUGUCAAGUGACGAUACCCUUCUUACCAUUUUCUGAGGC